rnacentral:rRNA from 1 species
UCGACGGAGAUAAUUUGGUAGUUUACUAUUAAAUUAUCUUAGUGGCGGACGGGUGAGUAACACGUGGGCAACCUGCCUCGGAGUGGGGGAUAACACCGGGAAAUCGGUGCUAAUACCGCAUAAAAUUAGAGCUUCGCAUGAAGCUUUAAUCAAAGGAGAAAUCCGCUUUGAGAUGGGCCCGCGUCUGAUUAGCUAGUUGGUGGGGUAGAAGCUUACCAAGGCGACGAUCAGUAGCCGAUCUGAGAGGAUGAACGGCCACACUGGAACUGAGACACGGUCCAGACUCCUACGGGAGGCAGCAGUGGGGAAUAUUGCACAAUGGAGGAAACUCUGAUGCAGCAACGCCGCGUGGAGGACGAAGGUUUUCGGAUUGUAAACUCCUGUCUUUUGGGACGAUAAUGACGGUACCAAAAGAGGAAGCCACGGCUAACUACGUGCCAGCAGCCGCGGUAAUACGUAGGUGGCGAGCGUUGUCCGGAAUUACUGGGCGUAAAGGGCGCGUAGGCGGCCUAUUAAGUCAGAUGUGAAACCCCCAGGCUCAACUUGGGGAUUGCAUUUGAAACUGGUGGGCUUGAGUGUCGGAGAGGAAAGUGGAAUUCCUAGUGUAGCGGUGAAAUGCGUAGAUAUUAGGAGGAACACCAGUGGCGAAGGCGACUUUCUGGACGAUAACUGACGCUGAGGCGCGAAAGCGUGGGGAGCAAACAGGAUUAGAUACCCUGGUAGUCCACGCUGUAAACGAUGGAUACUAGGUGU